UACGUAGGGUGCGAGCGUUGUCCGGAAUUAUUGGGCGUAAAGAGCUCGUAGGCGGCUUGUCGCGUCGGAUAUGAAAGCCCGGGGCUUAACUCCGGGUCUGCAUUCGAUACGGGCAGGCUAGAGUGUGGUAGGGGGAGAUCGGAAUUCCUGGUGUAGCGGUGAAAUGCGCAGAUAUCAGGAGGAACACCGGUGGCGAAGGCGGAUCUCUGGGCCAUUACUGACGCUGAGGAGCGAAGGCGUGGGGAGCGAACAGG
rnacentral:rRNA from 1 species